GCAACUUCCAUAAUGAAGCCACCGCCCUGGUGAAUACAGUGUCACCAACCUUACCAAGUGCAGAGCUCCUGUUUCAAAAAGAACCUGACCCUCCUGCAUUCCCAAGGGGACCGGCUCUGGAGAGAGGAAACCUGGACCAGAAGCAGAAUGACAUGCAGCACACCGGAGCUUCUGAAGAUCUUCACUGUAAGCGCAUAGAGAAUUUCAGCUCCACGAACCUUUAUUCUGCCCUGUGUGGAAGGACUACAGGUUGCUGUCACCUGUAAAGGAUAAUUCCUUUACAUCCCUUCCUGAUCACAGACAGCAUUGCCAUGAUGACCUUGGAAAUAAGAGAUUUGACUGAAGGGAGCAAAUGUCGCUGUGGAAAUUGCUAGCUGGAUUAAUUAUUAAGUAAUUGGGAAUGGGCAGAGCCCGGGCCUCAGCCCAGCGAAGUCUCCUGUGGUCAGAGCCACUCAGUCCAGCAUCCUGGACGGAUCCUUGGCCUUCUGAGCCAGAGACCUGCUGCAGGUGCUGGCCCACCAGGAAGAAAGUUGCUCCAGUCUCCUCCUGCACUCUGCCCUCAUUUCAGAAAUGCCAGCCUUUAAAAGAAUCAUUCAAGAUUGGGAAUAUCAGUGCCUUUGAGGAGAAAGCACUUCAAGGACCCAGCCUCUGAAGUCCAAUUCGGCGCUCCUUGGUCACCCCAGCUGUGGUGUGUACACAGUCAGAAAAGUGUGACUGCAUUCAGUGGGUGCUAACUACGCAGGUGCACAAAAUGCAGGAGCUGUGGUGAUAGGCAGCUUUGCUGAUGGAUGUGACAUACACAGCUGGACUCUGUCUUAUGUCCAAGAGCCAUUUUCACAAUUCAUUUGGUUCAUCAGGAAACCAUAGAAGCAGCACUGGAACAACAUUGAUUCUCUUAUUCCCAGGUGCUCCAGUGAGGCCAGACAAUACUGAAUUACUUUCCUAAAGUCACAAACUAAACAAGCGACAGGCCAAGAACUCUCAGCUCAAAUUUUUCUAACAUGAACUUCCCUGCAUAUUUUCCAACCAUAGAUAUUGGAUUAGAGUCUGAGUUGGUCAGAAAAUGCAAUUUCCAUGAAACUGAAUUAUUUGCAGCAGCUGCAACUUGAGGUGUUUCUGGCCAGAAGAACACACAAGGAAUCUAGUAUGUGUUGACCUUUUCGAAUGCCAGUGAUUAGUUUAUGCAGUUCUUACAAUAAUGUGACAUAGCGUCCACGAUGUCUGUGUUGCAGACAAGAACAGCAUGAGACCAUUGACUUUCCAGAGAUCUUGUACAGCUUGGAUAGUAAGGAUGGGUUCAGACCCACAACAGGCUCUGUGUCAUUUAUUCGCAGGGCUUGCGAGGCAAUACUAGCAACUGUAUUGAGUAUGUUGGGACUGUCAGAGUAAAAACAAAGUAAGAAUGAGUUUCUUCUCAUACCCAGUUAUACCAGCCGGCUCUGUGGUGCUGUAAACCCAGCUUUGCCCAACUAAUCUGCGCAUUGGUGGAAUUCUGGAGUCACAGGAACUGCUGAAGAGGGCCCCUGCCAAACCAUCAUUCCAUUCAUGGGUUUUCCAAAUUGGAACUAUUAAAAUUCCAAAAGGAUUUCAUUACUGAGUAGUUUCAGUCAAAAUGCCUGCAUAUCAAAGAACAAGGAGAGAUUUUGUCUCUAGAAUGUAGGCCCCAGCAUGGUGGGUCUGUGUCUUCUGCAUAGUAAGUGCUCUGUAAAUAUUGAUAGCUUUCAUGAAUGAACUUUACUCCCAGAUACAUGAAAAGAAGAAAAUUAAUAUUGUUCACUGUCGAUAUGUGGUAAAUCUAAUUGCUGAAGUCAGGAACCUGCCAACUGUUACACAAAAGGCCCAUUGUUAGCACUGCCCGCAGACUUCUGACUCUCAACCGCUCCGCUGUGACCACCAAGCCGCAACUCUUCCCUUUCUGUCAUUUCACAACAUCACUCAUAUGUGCUACAUGGUCAGGAUGAACAGUGGUGUGAAUGAAGUGCAGCGUCAGCUGUGAGCCUCGUGUGGUUUCUCUUCUCAAAACAGCAGAUUCAUAUGCAAGAUCGUUCAGGUCAGACCCCACUAAUACUCUGGCUAUUCGGGCAUUUGUCACUUGCCCCUCCGUAUACUCUCAUGGCUGCCUUGGAGCCACAAUGAACAGGCUUCUGUUUCACGGCUAAGUUCCCAGGGGGGAAAUACAUAUUGUUCAUACUGUGAUGCUUGUUCCAGUAAGUUUUUAAAACUCCAUCUUUCUCUUACAUCCCAUAGCGGUCUUGCACGCCUGUGACUUAUAGUAAUAAUGUUUCAUGUAUCAUGUGAUAAUGUAAAUCUUGCAAUGACUUCUUGGGUGAGAACCAAGAUGUAAGCAUUAUGAAAAUAGAAUACUUAAAUUUAUUCAUGGAUUAUGUAGUACAAUCUCUUUAGGAUAUGACAAAAGGCUUAAGUCAAUUUAAUGAGUUGCUAAGGAUACAAUAAACAAGGUGAA